rnacentral:rRNA from 1 species
GAUGAACGCUGGCGGCGUGCCUAAUACAUGCAAGUCGAGCGAACGGACGAGAAGCUUGCUUCUCUGAUGUUAGCGGCGGACGGGUGAGUAACACGUGGAUAACCUACCUAUAAGACUGGGAUAACUUCGGGAAACCGGAGCUAAUACCGGAUAAUAUUUUGAACCGCAUGGUUCAAAAGUAAAAGACGGUCUUGCUGUCACUUAUAGAUGGAUCCGCGCUGCAUUAGCUAGUUGGUAAGGUAACGGCUUACCAAGGCAACGAUGCAUAGCCGACCUGAGAGGGUGAUCGGCCACACUGGAACUGAGACACGGUCAAGACUCCUACGGGAGGCAGCAGUAGGGAAUCUUCCGCAAUGGGCGAAAGCAUGACGGAGCAACGCCGCGUGAGUGAUGAAGGUCUUCGGAUCGUAAAACUCUGUUAUUAGGGAAGAACAUAUGUGUAAGUAACUGUGCACAUCUUGACGGUACCUAAUCAGAAAGCCACGGCUAACUACGUG